AGAGUUUGAUCCUGGCUCAGGAUGAACGCUAGCGGCAGGCUUAACACAUGCAAGUCGAGGGGCAGCACGGGUAGCAAUACUUGGUGGCGACCGGCGCAAGGGUGCGUAACGCGUGAGCAACAUGCCCGUAUCAGGGGGAUAAUCCAGGGAAACUUGGUCUAAUACCCCAUAGUAAUUUCGUAAGGCAUCUUAUGGGAUUUAAAGCUUUGGUGGAUACGGAUUGGCUCGCGUGACAUUAGCUGGAUGGUAAGGUAACGGCUUACCAUGGCUAUGAUGUCUAGGGGUUCUGAGAGGAAGGUCCCCCACACUGGAACUGAGACACGGUCCAGACUCCUAC
rnacentral:rRNA from 1 species